ACGAAGUGAGUGGCGAACGGGUGAGUAACACGUGGGUAACCUGCCCAGAAGUAGGGGAUAACACCUGGAAACAGAUGCUAAUACCGUAUAACAGAGAAAACCGCAUGGUUUUCUUUUAAAAGAUGGCUCUGCUAUCACUUCUGGAUGGACCCGCGGCGUAUUAGCUAGUUGGUGAGGUAAAGGCUCACCAAGGCAGUGAUACGUAGCCGACCUGAGAGGGUAAUCGGCCACAUUGGGACUGAGACACGGCCCAGACUCCUACGGGAGGCAGCAGUAGGGAAUCUUCCACAAUGGACGCAAGUCUGAUGGAGCAACGCCGCGUGAGUGAAGAAGGGUUUCGGCUCGUAAAGCUCUGUUGUUAAAGAAGAACGUGGGUAAGAGUAACUGUUUACCCAGUGACGGUAUUUAACCAGAAAGCCACGGCUAACUACGUGCCAGCAGCCGCGGUAAUACGUAGGUGGCAAGCGUUAUCCGG
rnacentral:rRNA from 1 species